rnacentral:lncRNA from 1 species
UAAAUAUAACUGGAUGUUUUUCAACUCUGCUUUUAUCUUCCUGAGUCUCGAUCAUUCGCCUCGAGAACAGCCAUGGUCAAAACGGAGGGGGGCUGAAUAUUAAAUUAGAACAGCCAUGGUCAGAACAGAGGGAGGGGCUGAAUAUUAAAUUAGAACAGCCAUGGUCAAAACGGAGGGAGGAGGGGCUGAAUAUUAAAUUAGAACAGCCAUGGUCAGAACGGAGGGGGGCUGAAUAUUAAAUUAGAACAGCCAUGGUCAGAACGGAGGGAGGGGCUGAAUAUUAAAUUAGAAGAGCCAUGGUCAGAACGGAGGGAGGGGGAUAUUAAAUUAGAACAGCCAUGGUCAGAACAGAGGGAGGUGAAUAUUAAAUUAGAACAGCCAUGGUCAGAACGGAGGGAGGGGCUGAAUAUUAAAUUAGAACAGCCAUGGUCAGAACAGAGGGAGGUGAAUAUUAAAUUAGAACAGCCAUGGUCAGAACGGAGGGAGGGGCUGAAUAUUAAAUUAGAACAGCCAUGGUCAGAACGGAGGGAGGGACUGAAUAUUAAAUUAGAAGAGCCAUGGUCAGAACGGAGGGAGGUGAAUAUUAAAUUAGAACAGCCAUGGUCAGAACGGAGGGAGGGGCUGAAUAUUAAAUUAGAACAGCCAUGGUCAGAACGGAGGGAGGGACUGAAUAUUAAAUUAGAAGAGCCAUGGUCAGAACGGAGGGAGGUGAAUAUUAAAUUAGAACAGCCAUGGUCAGAACGGAGGGAGGGGCUGAAUAUUAAAUUAGAACAGCCAUGGUCAGAACGGAGGGAGGGACCAUACUACUCUUCCUGUUCUGUUGUUUUUACUUUCGCCUGUGAGCAUCGACAGACCAGAGUGGUUUCUGGGCCCCGCUGCAAGAGAGUGUGUGUGUGUUGUAUAUACUCUGCUGUGUGGGUGUGUGUGUGUGUGUGUUGUAUAUCUACUCGUGUGUUGACAGUAUGAAACGUGGUGGUCUGUGGGAAUGUGGCGGUCUGUGGGAAUGUGGCGGUCUGUGGGAAUGUGGCGUGUUUGCAGUGAUGCAUCUAUGGACAUCCUCUCAGAAUAAAUAAAUGUUCUAUACAAACUGUUCCCCUCGACUCUUUUACUACUGUCUGUCUGUCUGUCUGCCUGUCUGCCUGUCUGUGUACAGUUGAAGUCUGUAAACAUCCACUUAGGUUGGAGUCAUUAAAACUUGUUUUUCAGCCAUUCCACAAAUUUCUUGUUAACAAACUAUAGUUUUGGCAAGUCGGUUAGGACAUCUACUUUGUGCAUGACACAAGUCAUUUUUCCAACAAUUGUUUACAG